rnacentral:rRNA from 1 species
AUUGAACGCUGGCGGCAUGCCUUACACAUGCAAGUCGAACGGUAACAGGUCUUCGGAUGCUGACGAGUGGCGAACGGGUGAGUAAUACAUCGGAACGUGCCUAGUAGUGGGGAUAACUACUCGAAGGAGUGGCUAAUACCGCAUGAGAUCUACGGAUGAAAGCAGGGGAUCGCAAGACCUUGUGCUACUAGAGCGGCCGAUGGCAGAUUAGGUAGUUGGUGGGAUAAAAGCUUACCAAGCCGACGAUCUGUAGCUGGUCUGCGAGGACGAUCAGCCACACUGGGACUGAGACACGGCCCAGACUCCGACGGGAGGCAGCAGUGGGGAAUUUUGGACAAUGGGCGCAAGCCUGAUUCAGCAAUGCCGCGUGCAGGAUGAAGGCCUUCGGGUUGUAAACUGCUUUUGUACGGAACGAAAAGCCCCGGGUUAAUACCCUGGGGUCAUGACGGUACCGUAAGAAUAAGCACCGGCUAACUACGUGCCAGCCGCCGCCGUAA